rnacentral:lncRNA from 1 species
UUUUUUUUUUUUUUUUUUGAGAGAGAGAGAGAAAGAGCAAGAGUGAAUGGGGGCGGGCAGAGUAGGGGAGGGAGAGAGAGGGAGGACUACAUGCUGAGAGGAGAGCCCUACAUGGGGCUCCAUCUCAGGACCCUGAGAUCAAGCCCUGAGCUAAAACCAAGAGUCAGAUGCUUAACCGACUGAGCUCCCCAGGUGCUCCUCUGACUUAUUUGAUUUUGAUUGAUUUGGGCCUUGGAGACCAUGGCUUUGAAGUACACUCCAGAUAGUACACUCCGGAAUUAUCAUUAUUAUCAUUAUUAUCAUAAUAAUCAGAAUAGUCUCCCUGUGUGCUAUAUUUUGUCAAAAGCUUUAUUCAUUUUUUAAUAUAUUAUUUAUUCAUGAGAGACAUAGAGAGAUGUGCCCAAGAUUGCGAAUCUGAGAAACCACCAAGGAGCCGACAACGAUGCAAACACACGAGAGCUCAUUUACGAGCUCGAGCUUGGGUCCAAGUAUACCCGACACAGGGGAACAGGGACUUGGACCCCAAAGUGGGUUACAGCUGGGUCUAUACGCUGGUCUAGGGGAUUUUCAGAAGGGGUGGAGGAAUUUUUCAAGUUCUGUUUACAUUCUGAUAUGGGGCUUUCAAGGGCAUUGAGCUCUGUUCUCAUUCUAAUAUGGGACUUUUCACCACUGCCGUGGGGUCUGUUGUCUUUCUGAUAUGGGAUUACCUGCCGAGGACAUUGAGGACAUUCUGCAGUUUUUCCCAUAAAGUUCAGCUCCUAUUCACAGGGGCUUCAGAUGGCUGUACUUGUGCUAAUGCUAAACUCGAGGUGGAAUGGCCUUGAUUUUUCUCGGCCUCCACAAGAGAGAGGCAGAGACACAGGCAGAGGGGGAAGCAGGUUCCACACAGGGAGCCCGAUGUGGGACUCAAUCCCAGGACCCUGGGAUCAUGCCCUUAGCCAAAGGCAGAUGCUCAACCGCUAAGCCAUCCAGGGGUCUCUCUCUCUCAAAAGCUUUAAAUACAUGUUCACAGCGCAAAUCACCAAGCAGAUAAUCUCUCUGAGACUGGAUCUUCAGGAAAUGAAUGUAAUAAAGAGAAUGACCAAUUUAAUCAAUGUGAACCUGAAGUGAUGAUGUGUGAAUACCACAAUGAUUCAGCAAAAAGACAUCAUGCCCUGUGACUAUCACAGAGCACUGGCAAACACUGCCAGAACCUCAGAGUUGUCUCUGGGAGCGGUACUAAUAUCUUACAUUUUGAUUACAUCUUUCCAUUAGGCUGAAAGCAUGAUUAAAAGGGGGCUAUUGUUAAGACAAAACAGGCCCCAAAUGGAGUCAAUUGUGCUAAGCCCAAUGUCACUAAACAGAUUUAAUAUCUAACUUAAUUAGUUUCAACCUUUCCUAGGAGGGAAAUCUUAAACCUGUCCAUCUACAAUUACCUUAUCUCUAGGGAGAUAACCCUCCUGAUACAGACCCCUGCAGUUCCCUCAGGAGGUAACCUUGUUGCAAACAAUCCACUCUUGGCUAAUUACUUCCCUUUCUACCUAUAAAAGUCUUUCUUUUUGUAUAGCUCUUCGGAAUUCCUUUCUAUCUACUAGAUGGGAUGGGGCCCGAUUCAUGAAUCACUGAAUAAAGCCCAACAAAUCUUUACAAUUUACUCAGAUUAAUUUUAAAAAACAAUAUCUCUAUCAGAAGAUGUCUAUAUUUUUAACAACUGGAAAGAUUACUAUAAUAAUAAAAAGUAUCCUGAAAUGGGCUUUAGUAUUCUUCAGAGUUAAUAUACACUGUGGGAUGUUGAUGUCUGGGCAGGACAAAGACAUCAAAAAUAUGAUCUCGCACACUUCAGCUUCCUAGUUGCAUGAACAGGGAGCCAAAGAAGCAGAUCUUGCAUGACCUCAGCUCUGUUCCUGGAAUCACCCUCUGUUCACUUCACACAUUCCUGGCAUGUCUUUCAUUCUCUUGUGCAGAGAACAAGUAGAGUUGCCAGGUUACUGUUGAUGAAGAGUAGUUUUUAGAAACAGAAAGUCAGUGUCCUGGUUCUGAAUAAUUUAUCUUGCUCUCUGGGGCAUGUUAAACAGUAACUAUUGGUUGGUGCUUAAUCUAUUGGAUCUUACUCAACCUAUGAUUUGAGUGUCUAUGAUGGAUAUAUCACUUUUUUUUUUAUCUUUCAAGUAUAAAUUGGAUGUGCUAUAUUUCCCUUCCAGAAGUAUAUCGUGCAGUCAUUUGGCAUUAAAUUGUUUUAAAAAGUUUACUAAAUUAACUGAAAUGAAAAAUGAACUUUCAGCUUUCCACAUCAACUAUUAAAGUUUAAAGUUGGAUUUAACCCCUAAAGGUUUUAAAUAUGAGAAAGUUCUCAGAAAUGUGGGGGCCCCAUUUUUCAGUGCCUUUUGUUCAGCAGACUCCAUGAGGUAUAAACCAGUAAUUUUCAGAGGCCAGAAGCCCUGGCUUCUAUAUAUCAGUUAUGAGUUAUGUGACCUUGGACAAGUUUCCUCAUCUGUAAAAUGGGAAUGGUAAUAUCUCAACAUCACAGAAUUGUUGAGAGUAGUAGAAUGUAAGUACAUCACCCAACCAUAUUAAAUGUGUAUCAGUAGACAUAUGCUAUUAUAGUAGGCCUCCAAAAAAUGGUAACUAUAUACAACUUUAUUUUUUGAAAAGAUACUUUCACUUGGUUCAAAGUGCAAAAAAUACAAAGAGUUAUAAGUAUCUCUUGAAAUCUUUUCACUUAUUUUUCAUAGUCACAUAUUACACUUCCCUGGUAAUAACUGAUGUGUCAGUUUCUUGUGUAUCUUGCAAGAGAUAUUGUGUAUAUCUAAAAGCAAGAAUUUAGGAGUGCCUGAGUGGCUCAGUGGAGUAAGCUUCUGACUUUGGCUCACUUUACCAUCUUGGGGUUCUGGGAUCUAGCACCUACUCUGCAGGGAGCCUGCUUCUCCAUCUCCCUCUGCCCCUGCCCCCACUCAAGCUCACGCUCUCUCUCAAAAUCUUAAAAAAAAAUAAAAGCAAGAAUUUAUACUUCUCCCUUUUGUGUGUGACUGAAAUCCUACAAUUCAAGGUUUUCUUCUUAUUGCUUGAAAUGUACCUUAGAAGUUACUUAUAUAGGUUAAAUGUUUCCAAACAGUCGCGGCUACAUUAAUUUAGCCAUAGCUGUGUAUUUGUACGUCUCUCACACACACAUACUACUCAGCCAUCUAUUAUAUAGGCAUGUUCCGAUUUAAUUAUCAAUUUUAACCCAAACUACUGGAUAUUUAUUCAUUGAUUGAACAAGUACUUACUGAAGGCUUACCAUGAGUCAGGCUGGGCAGGGCAACGCAUCAAAGAACAGUCAGUCACUUCUUUCAUAGCUAGUGAAUAUGAGGCUGGACAUUCCAUCUCGCCCCAUCCUUUGCAGCUUGGGGGUUUCUGAGCCCCCAGCGGCUCCCAGGGGGGUGUCAGACAAAGCUCGCCGUCCAGCAUCCCUCCCGUGCGGGGUGGGAUUCCUGAGCCAGAGCCGGCAGACAGAGGAGUCCGGAAUGAACGCAAAACCCCACGCAGGAGCGGGGACGCAGGCCGGCCCCGCGACGGCGUGAAAGCAGCCCCGGAAAGGGGUGGGGGUCUCGAGGGUGGGAGCAGAUCCUUGCCUGCCUUCUUGUCCCCUCCGCACUGUGAGCGGCACAUGGGGGCUUCGGAGACGACUUCCUACCUGUGGAUGGGAGACCCCAUCUGUACAGGAGAAACCCAGCCGGGGAAGGCGAUCCCACCUGACCCCACCUCAGCCCGGGGGCGGGGGCAGACUGAGUUGGGGGACACGGACAGGGUCAGCGGAGCCAAGAGCUGGGCAAAGGGAGUCGGCUAGGACACUAGGCACCUUUGGGUGUCUACCAGAGGCAAGCGGCGGCGGGGGCCCAAGCCCUUUAAAGUCCCUGCGCGGGGGAACGGCUGCCCAACAGCCGCGGGCGGGUGCCCCCGGCCUGGCCCCUCGCCGACGCCUCUCCAAGCAGAGCUGGCCGCCUCCCGCCCCGGCCCCGGCCCCGGCCC